CUACGGACUUAAUUGGAUUGAGCCUUGGUAUGGAAACUUACUAAGUGAUAACUUUCAAAUCAGAGAACCCUGGAAUUAAUAAAAAUGGGCAAUCCUGAGCCAAAUCACGUUUUCCGAAACAAACAAAGGUUCAGAAGCGAAAAUAAAAAGGAUAGUGCAGAGACUCGAUGAAGUGUUCUAACGAAUGGAGUUGAUUGUCUUACAUUGGUAGAGAAUCCUUCUAUCGAAACUUCAGAAGAGGAAGGAUAAACCUGUUAUACAUAGAAGAAUUGGUAUGAAUCGAUUUCCAUAUUGAAGAAAGAAUCAAAUAUUCAUUUGAUCAAAGGAUUCACGAUAUCUGAUAGAUCUUUUGAAUAACUGAUGAAAUCGACGAGAAAUAAAGAUAGAGUCCCGUUCUACAUGUCAAUACCGG
rnacentral:ncRNA from 1 species